AGCAGUAGCCGCGGUAAUACGGAGGGAGCUAGCGUUGUUCGGAAUUACUGGGCGUAAAGCGCGCGUAGGCGGUUACUCAAGUCAGAGGUGAAAGCCCGGGGCUCAACCCCGGAACUGCCUUUGAAACUAGGUGACUAGAAUCUUGGAGAGGUCAGUGGAAUUCCGAGUGUAGAGGUGAAAUUCGUAGAUAUUCGGAAGAACACCAGUGGCGAAGGCGACUGACUGGACAAGUAUUGACGCUGAGGUGCGAAAGCGUGGGGAGCAAACAGGAUUAGAUACCCCUGUAGUCCCUGUCUCUUAUAA
rnacentral:rRNA from 1 species